CGUACCUUUUGCAUCAUGAUUUAGCCAGCACCCUCAAGCAAAGAGCACUUUAGUUUGACCACCCGAAAUUAGGUGAGCUACUCCAAGACAGCCUAUCCAUAAGGGCAAACCCGUCUCUGUGGCAAAAGAGUGGGACGAGCUUCGAGUAGAGGUGACAGACCUACCGAACCUAAUUAUAGCUGGUUGCCUGGGAACUGGAUAGAAGUUCAGCCCUACGGCUUCUCCUUCCCAACCCGUUCCAACACACCCCUGGCACUUUAGAGAAACCGUACGAGUUAGCCAAAGGAGGUACAGCCCCUUUGAACCAAGAAACAACUUUACCAGGAGGGUAUCAAUCAUAUUAUUUAAGGCAAAAUGCCAAGGUGGGCCUAAAAGCAGCCAUCCUUAUAGAAAGCGUUACAGCUCAAGCAUUUCCCACGCCCAUUAUACCGAUAACCCAAUUCCAACCCCCUUACCUUACCAGGCCAUCCUAUGCACACAUAGCAGUGACCAUGCUAAUAUGAGUAAUAAGAGGACACGCCCCUCUCCCUGCACACGUGU
rnacentral:rRNA from 1 species